GUGCUCACUUUGGCAGCACAUAUACUAGCACUGGAAUGAUACAGAGAAGAUUAGCAUGGCCCCUGCACAAGGAUAACACUCAAAUUUAUGAUGCAUUCCAUAUUUUU
rnacentral:snRNA from 1 species